CAUUUCAAGAGUCUAAGAGGGUGUUUGGUUUGCCUUUUCAAAUGACUUUUUCUUUAUCUUUUAUAAAAAGUCUAAAAAGAUGUUUGGUAAGGUAAAACUGACUUUUGAAAAUGACUUUUUCUAUAGUGUAUUUUCAGUCUUUUUGAAAAGUCACGUAUUCCUGACUUUUUCUAACUUUUCACCAACUAAAAAUUAGAAAUUACCAAUAUACCCUUGUCCACCCUAAUUAACGUCAUUCCCAGUUCACAUUCACAGAUACGAAUCUCUCUUCUUGUUCUCUCCGCCGGCGACGCGUCUCGAUCUGCAACAAACCGGUGACGCAACUUAGCUUUUCGCGACUCGACUUGCAACAAACCGGCGACGCCGGCGACCUGCAACACCGGCGACACCGGGCGAUCUGCAACCCCGCGAUCAGAUAAUGGAUGAAAACAAUACUACAAUUGGUGAUUGUGAAACAUCUUUAAAAAUGAAAAAACCAAAAUUUGGGUGGGAUAAUCGUAGCUUCAUGGUGUUUAUGAAUCCUACAAUCCCGUACGAGGUGAUACCAAUAGUGAUGUUUAUGAAGAAGGUCCAAGUACACGUCGCACGAGCAAUGAUGAUUUAUAUAUGGCAGCGAGACGGGAUAUUAUUGCACAAGAUAUAAUCACAUUACGUAGAUGAAUGUAAUAUUAUCUAUGAUAUUUUUUUAUGAAUUAUUUACAAUUUGUAUGAACGUAAUUUUAAUAUUGUCAUGGUCUAAUCCAAAAAAUUAGAAAUAUUUUAAUUUGUAUGAACGUAAUUUAUAUUUUACAUUUA